GCGCUGCCGUGGGCCCCGCCCCCAGGCGAGCAACUGUCAAGGAGCCACCGUUUGAGGGGCGUUUUUGAGCCCACGGUCGGCGGAGCGGUGGUCGUCCACUUGGAGAGUGAGGCCUGGACCUCGGAGGGCGAAAGUCGUGCCUUGGGACCUUCCCCUUUUCUUGUCAGAACAGAGAGUAACAUUUGUUUUGGUGGAGAUUUACAGGAACAUCGUGACCCGACCAUGACCUGACCUCAAGGACAAAGGCUCUGACACCAAGAAGUGUGCACCAACUAACCACGCCCCUCCCUCACCUUCCCUAUAAAAGGGCUUUGCUGAUUGCUUUCAGGGAGUUUGGGGUUUUUUAAGGCGUGAGCCACCCAUCUCCUUGCAUGGCCCUGCAAUAAACCUUUCUGUGUUCCAGA